GAUGAACGCUGGCGGUAUGCUUAACACAUGCAAGUCGAACGGACUCUUCGGAGUUAGUGGCGGACGGGUGAGUAACGCGUGAGAAUCUGGCUUUGGGUUCGGGACAACCACUGGAAACGGUGGCUAAUACCGGAUGUGCCGAGAGGUAAAAGAGAAAUUGCCUGAAGAUGAGCUCGCGUCUGAUUAGCUAGUUGGUGAGGUAAAGGCUCACCAAGGCAGCGAUCAGUAGCUGGUCUGAGGGGAUGACCAGCCACACUGAGACUGAGACACGGCACAGACUCCUGCGGGAGGCAGCAGUGGAGAAUUGUCCGAAAGGGGCGAGAGCGUGACAGAGCAAUACCGCGUGAGAGAAGAAGGCUCUUGGGUUGUAAACCUCUUUUCUUAGGGAAGAACAAAAUGACGGUACCUAAUGAAUCAGCAUCGGCUAACUCCGUG
rnacentral:rRNA from 1 species